AGAGUUUGAUCCUGGCUCAGGAUGAACGCUGGCGGCAUGCCUAAUACAUGCAAGUCGAACGAGAGGAAGGAAAGCUUGCUUUUCUGAAUCUAGUGGCGAACGGGUGAGUAACACGUAGGUAACCUGCCCAUGUGCCCGGGAUAACUUCUGGAAACGGAUGCUAAAACCGGAUAGGUAGCAGACAAGCAUUUGACUGCUAUUAAAGUGGCUUUGGCCAUGAACAUGGAUGGACCUGCGGUGCAUUAGCUGGUUGGUGAGGUAACGGCCCACCAAGGCGACGAUGCAUAGCCGGCCUGAGAGGGCGGACGGCCACAUUGGGACUGAGACACGGCCCAAACUCCUACGGGAGGCAGCAGUAGGGAAUUUUCGUCAAUGGGGGGAACCCUGAACGAGCAAUGCCGCGUGAGUGAGGAAGGUCUUCGGAUCGUAAAGCUCUGUUGUAAGAGAAAAACGGCACUCAUAGGGAAUGAUGAGUGAGUGAUGGUAUCUUACCAGAAAGUCACGGCUAACUACGUGCCAGCAGCCGCGGUAAUACGUAGGUGGCGAGCGUUAUCCGGAAUCAUUGGGCGUAAAGAGGGAGCAGGCGGCCGCAAGGGUCUGUGGUGAAAGACCGAAGCUAAACUUCGGUAAGCCAUGGAAACCGGGCGGCUAGAGUGCGGAAGAGGAUCGUGGAAUUCCAUGUGUAGCGGUGAAAUGCGUAGAUAUAUGGAGGAACACCAGUGGCGAAGGCGACGGUCUGGGCCGCAACUGACGCUCAUUCCCGAAAGCGUGGGGAGCAAAUAGGAUUAGAUACCCUAGUAGUCCACGCCGUAAACGAUGAGAACUAGGUGUUGGGGGAAUAACUCAGUGCCGCAGUUAACGCAGUAAGUUCUCCGCCUGGGGAGUAUGCACGCAAGUGUGAAACUCAAAGGAAUUGACGGGGGCCCGCACAAGCGGUGGAGUAUGUGGUUUAAUUCGACGCAACGCGAAGAACCUUACCAAGGCUUGACAUUGAAUGACCGCUUCAGAGAUGAAGCUUUCCCUUCGGGGACAUGAAAACAGGUGGUGCAUGGCUGUCGUCAGCUCGUGUCGUGAGAUGUUGGGUUAAGUCCCGCAACG
rnacentral:rRNA from 1 species